AUGGAUUCCACCAUGAUGCGGAUCGUGCACCAAGCAAUGAACAAGGCGCAUGAAAAGAUGCAGAGCAAAGAAGGUGUUCUUCAGCGCUUGAAUGAGAUAUCCAGAUUCUAUGAGUUGGCUGUCAUGCAGCUGGAAGGGUGUUUGAAGUUUGUUCGGCAAGAGACCGACAGCUGCAUUCUUGAGAGCAGCCAUGAGCAGGUGCUGACAGACUUGACUGAGAUUCGAAACCGCCUUCAAGGGCGCCUCAAGGAGUCUGAGAUGGCAAUCAUGGCCAAGGAUAGAGAAUUGGCUUCGCUGCGUUCCAACACCGCGAAUCUCAAGCUUGAAAGAAGAACGAAGAGUGAGCCUGUUGAAGAAUACAUUUUUAGUAAUUGGAUGGGUGGGGAUGAUGAUGAUGAUAGAGAUAAUGAACUUUUUUGUGAGUUGAAGAAUUCAGUGGAUCAGCAGGUUUUGAAUAUCAGACAGAAGCUUCAGCCUGAUUACAGGUUCAAAGAUAAGGAAGGAAAUUCAGAAGUUGUUGAAGGGAUCAACAACAAAAGGAUUGAGCAGAUGGGUUCAGACAUGGGGAUUUUGAAGGAAACUUUGGAUCUUGCUUUUGGGAAAAUGCAGAAUGCCAUUUUCAGGCCUGAGGUUGGGCCAAUUGAGCAGCAAUGGAGAUGGGAUGUUGAGAAAGACACAAUGUCUGCUUUGCUUCAAGGGUUCAUGAGUGAUUUCCAAGAAACUGUUGAAGCACAAGUGUGGAAGGAAGAGGAGCACGUUUGUCUUGGCUUGAAGGAGUACUGGUAUGAUUUGAUGGAUGAGGUUGUGAACUUGCGCCAUGAACUAGAUUCUUUCGUUGGUGAUAAUGAGGUGGUGCAAGUGAAGAGUACUGAUCCAUUGCAAACAAGCCUUGGAGGCAAAGUUUCAAACAGAACAAAUGAAAAGCAUUCACCAGAAGAUUUUAGUCAUGGAAAGCCUGAAUAUCAGCUGUCUUUAAAGGCUGAAGAGGUUAUGCAAGAAGUCCAUGAAGAGGAAAGGGAAGAGGAUGGAGGCCACUUUGUUUCCAAGAUGAUAAAGAAUCAUGAAUCCAUCAUCCGGAAGAAAAGUGCACAGGUAGAAGAGCUGAAUUUGCUGAAGCGAGAAAUUCUUCAACAGAAAGGGAAAUUGUCUAGCAGGAGAGAAGAGAUUGGGAUGCAAGAAAACAGCUUGAAAAGAAGGGUCCAGGAAAUUAUUUUAAAACUAGAUAAAUUAAGAGAUUGGGAUGUUAAGCUUAACGAAACUUUUGGUAAUUAUGAGUUUGAUCAUGAGGAAGAAACUCUUUCAGAGGAGAGGUUCCUGAAAUCUGAUGCAAAUCAUAUUGACAAUUUGGAACUUGUUACUUUGGAAGAUGUAUGGAAGAAGAUGGAUAAAGUACCUUACACAGUAAAUGAAGAGCUACAAAAUGAAGGGAGCAGGCUGAAACAAGACCAAGAAGAAGAAAAUUUGAAAGCUGUGAUAAUGGAAAGGACCUAUGUUACUCUUCUUGAAAGUUUAAUAAAAGAGAAUUGCAUUGAAUUACAUGAUUUUGAGUUAGAGAACCUGAUUUGGAAGGACAUAUGUAAUCUUCUCCUUACAGAAGUGGUCAAUCAAUGGAAGGAGAAUAUUGAAGGUAACAACAUUGAAUCUCAAACCAGAGAAGAGAUAUAUUGCACCGUCCUCCGCGAGGCAAUCAAGGAUUAUAGCUCAAAUGGUAACUUUGCAUUAGUAGAGUGUCAGGAUUUGAGGGUUGAAAAUAAUUCUUUAGAAGACUCAGCAUUCUCAGACAAGUUUUGUUACGUGGAAGGGACAAUAAGAGAGGAUGUAUGCUGGACCCUUUUGCAUGAAAUGCUCAAGGAGUGGAAUGAAUGCAUAUAUGGUUGUGAAACUGAGAGCUUUCUUAGAGAAGAGGUAGACUGGCUUAUUUGUAAUGAGACAAUCAAAGAGUUUGUAAAAACUGCCGGUGAUCCAUUGGCUCAAUAUCAAGAUAUUUUUACCAGGGAGUUUAUUCAGACCACAGAAAGUUUUGUGAGGGAGGAUAUCUGUAUGGUUUUCAUCGGAGAAACGAUCAAGGAAUGGAAGAUGGAGAGUCUCAGUAGGGAAGAAAUUUUUCAUUUUGUCAUGGGUGAGGUAUUGAGAGAUGCAUUUGACCUGUUUAGCGAAGCUGAUUCUGGGACUCAUGACAAAUUCCCAAAAGGCAUGCUCUUUGCUAACAAGUUACAGAAUGAUAGACAGGUCGGUGUAGAGGAGAAUUUGAAUGAAAAGAUAGGUAUGGAGGAAGAUCUGAUGUCAAGUGAAAGUUCUAAAGGGUUGUUAACUAAAUUCCACACUUUCGGUUCGGUGAGCAGCAAGCUAGCAAGUAAGGCUCUAAGAAGUGAGUUAGGAUCUAGUUUAGACAUCCUAGUUGGCGGUUUACAAAAGGUUUAUGAUCAAGUGAGUCCUGCAGUAGGUUCUGCACAUAGCAGUGAGCCGUCUUAUUGCCAACCAAAAACAAAGAAAGAGGUUCAAUUGAACCCAUCUGAUUCUGUGUUCACACCUGUCCUCAGAUUUCAAGAAGUGUUGGUGGACCUUGUGCACACAUCAAAAGAAAAGUUAGAAAUAAACUUCUUGAGAUUGGACAAGAUGAGGGAUGGUAUAAAUAUACUUGUUGAACAUGUUUCCACCUUGAGAAAAAAAGAAUCACUUUAUAGGAACGCUUUUACUAGGAGAUGUCAAGAUCUGUGGAAGGCUGAGACUGAGGUGGACCUUCUGGGUGAUCAAGUGGAUGUUCUUGUAGGCCUUCUUGAAAAAAUUUACACCAUAUUGUCUCAUCAUUCGCCUGUUCUGCAUCAGUAUUUUGAGGUCUCGGACAUCUUACAGUUGAUCAAGAAAGAACUAACUGGAGUUGUCAAUACAUCUAAAAAUUGACAGGUGCAUGAAACCAUGUUCUGCCUAUCAUCCUUUUAUUUUGUAUUGAAGAAAAAGAUAAAAUGUGCUUAUAGAAAUGGAUCUAGUCUGUUAUCUAUGUUGUUUUAGCUGAGGAAAAAUAAAUGAAGUCAACCAAAACAAACAGAAACACAAGGCUGCAGGAGAAGACAAGUGGGAAACCAACAAGGAAAAAAGAAGAAAACAAAAAAGGAAACAACAUUCCUCAAUAGGCUGGCGAACAAUACUAUGUUUUGAGAAGCCCAAAGAGCAAACCAAAACUAAGCUGGCUAUUAGCUCUCGUCAUUGAUUUUAUCUUGAAGCUUUCCAAAGGAGGCGCACCUGCACCCUAUGAACCACCACCACCACCACCACCACCACCACCUACCAAUAAGAAAGGGUCUUCAGGAGGACUAAGUGGUGGGCAGAAGGCAGGGAUAGUGUUUGGAGUGCUGAUAGGGGCAGGACUGAUUGGGUUUGGCGGAUUCGUGUACAAGAAACGUAAGGAUAACAUGAGAAGAGGGCGAUUUGGAGCUGCAGCUAGGACAACCUUUCUUUGAUUUUGACACAUCUUUAUGAUUAAUUGGAAACUGAAAUAGGAGAGGAAAUGAAGAGACCAUGAAUGAAUCUACAUUUAUUAAUUCAAGUUCUGUCUUGUUUUA